CUCGUAGGCGGCCAACUAAGUCAGACGUGAAAUCCCUCGGCUUAACCGGGGAACUGCCUCUGAUACUGGAUGGCUUGAGGUUGGGAGAGGGAUGCGGAAUUCCAGGUGUAGCGGUGAAAUGCGUAGAUAUCUGGAGGAACACCGGUGGCGAAGGCGGCAUCCUGGACCAAUUCUGACGCUGAGGAGCGAAAGCCAGGGGAGCAAACG
rnacentral:rRNA from 1 species